AAGUACCCAGGGACACGAUACACUGCGGAAGGCCGCAGGGAUCUCUCCCUAGGAAAGCCAGAUGAUGCAUAUCAUAAAUUAUUACUCACCCCAUGUUCCCACCCUCGAGAGACCUCCAAACAAUCACCAUGCCACAGUGAACAUUCAGUAACAAAAAUUCAGCCAGGGUUUUCACCAGCAUGAAUGGCAGUGAUUCCAAUUAGGAAAACAGAAAGAGGAGAGUUCAGAGCCACCUAGAAUGGCUCUUGCAAGAUAGGAAAUCAAGGCAGCAGCAACAGGGCUGAACAUUCCUCAUCCCUAACUCUCCCUUCACCAGUAGGAAACCCAGGAUAACUGCAAUCGCCGCAGGCCCAUCUGGCCUGAAGUUCUACUACUAGUAGCCCUCCAUGGGACCUUCUUAAGGAAGCAUGUCAACUCAGGUAAGGGAUGUAAGGGGAUGGAUGACCCUUUGAGACCAAAGUUGCAGCAAAAAACACCAGAUGUUCCUGUGUACUGCUCCUAAGAGAUGGUUCUGAAGACCAGUUCGGGGAGAGGUCAAAAUACUGGACAGAAUCUCAGCAACAUGGAACCUCAAACUAAGUGACAGUCACAGACAACUCUUCCCCAGAGAAAAUAAGCACAGACAUGGUUUGUGGUAAGCAGAAUUAUAAAGAUGAAUUCCCAUCUCCCUGUCAGAUUACCAGUAUGGUAAAUUACCAGAUUACCUGGUUAUUUAUUCAAACACUAAUACAGUUAUUGCCUUGAUGGAAACAUACAGAUGCAAUUAAAAUCCCAAGUACCAAAUAAAUUGACCUUAAGACAAAGACUAAGUAAAUCACAUGAGCCCUCUACAAGCAGAGAGUUUUUCUCCAGCUGGUAGCAGAAGCCAGAGAUUUGAAGCAUAGGAAGUAUUCAACACAUUAUUGCUGGCCUGAAAAUGGAAGGGGCCACAUAACGAGGGAAACCGGGGGCCUCUAGAAGCAGGGAGCAGUCCCCUGCUGACAGACAGCAAGCCAAGACCUCAGUUCUACAAUUGCAAGACACUUAAUUCUGCUAAGGACAAAAAUGAGCUUGGAAGUGAACUCUGAGCUUCAGGUGAAAACACGGCCAAACAACACCUUGAUUUCAGCUUAAACAAAGAAUGCAGCCACUCCAUGCCAGAAUUCUGACCUGUAGAAAUUUGAGCUAAUAAAUAGAUGUUUU
rnacentral:lncRNA from 1 species